rnacentral:rRNA from 1 species
AAACGUAGGACACAAGCGUUAUCCGGAUUUAUUGGGCGUAAAGAGCGUUGAGGCGGCUCUGUAAGUUGGACGUGAAAGCCCCUGGCUCAACUGGGGGAGGUCGUUCAAUACUGCAGGGCUCGAGGGCAGCAGAGGGAGGUGGAAUUCCCGGUGUAGCGGUGAAAUGCGGAGAUAUCGGGAGGAACACCAGUGGCGAAGGCGGCCUCCUGGGCUGUUCCUGACGCUGAAGGCGAAAGCUAGGGGAGCGAACAGGAUUAGAAACCCCAGUAGUCC